rnacentral:rRNA from 1 species
UCCAAAGGAAGGCAGCAGGCGCGAAAAUUGCCAAACCAACUAAGUUGGAGGCAGUGACAAUAAAUAUCUGCGGGUUCUAUGAAUCCGACUGGAAUGAGAUGGAUGUAAACAAUCCUACGAGUAUCAAUUGGAGGAAAAGUCUGGUGCCAGCACCCGCGGUAAUUCCAGCUCCAAGAGCGUAUAUUCAAGUUGCUGCAGUUAAAAAGCUCGUAGUUGGGUGGGGGAUGAAAGGUAGAAGGAGAAGGGGAACCGGAUCUGRAAACUUUUUAUCCAUUUAUGGAGAGUAGCUUGUUAGAUGACCUUAACUGGUUGUUURAUAUAGCCUCUCCCGUUGACCGUGCUUAAAUUCGCGUGUUCAAAGCAAGCAAUUUCGCUUGAAGAGUCUAGCAUGGGAUCAUAAAAUAUGAAGUUUACUCAAUUGUCUAUCUCUUGAGUAUGACUUAAUGACAAAUAGGGGCAAGCGGGGGCGGAGGGAUUCCGUUGUUAGAGGUGAAAUUCUUAGACCAACGGAGGACCAACAGAAGCCAAAGCGUCCGUCAAGGGUGUACCCAUUGAUCAAGAACGAAAGUUAGGGGAUCAAAUACGAUCAGACACCGUAGUAGUCCUAACCUUAAACGAUACCGACCGGGGAUGGGGAGAGGUAAUACUCUUAACCCUUCCUGUACCCUGCGAGAAAUCAAGAGUGUUUGGGUUCCGGGGGGAGUACGGUCGCAAGGCUGAAACUUAAAGGAAUUGACGGAAGGACACACAAGAAGUGGAACCUGCGGCUUCCAAUUCGACUCAACACGGGAAAACUUACCAGGUCCAGACAUGGGAAGGAUGGACAGAUUGAUAGCUCUUUCUUGAUUCCAUGAGUGGUGGUGCAUGGCCGUUCUUAGUUGGUGGAGUGAUUUGUCUGGUUGAUUCCGAUAACGAACGAGACCACGAGAGGGUGGUUGAGGUUGUAGAUGAGGAAUGAAAAUGGGGGAAGGGUUAAUUGUAACUGGCUUCGGUUAGUUCGGUUAAUUUGGAACCUUUGUUCCUUUCUACACUUACCUACCCCGACCGAAGUGUUUUAACACUUAGGAAGGUCGUGGCAAUAACAGGUCUGUGAUGCCCUUAGAUGUUCUGGGCUGCACGCGCGUUACACUGACUAAGUGAAAAAGUUUUUUUUGCUUGACUGAGAGGUCUGGCAAAUCUUUUAAACCUAGUCGUGAUGGGGAUAGAUGGUUGAAAUUAGGCAUCUUGAACGAGGAAUUCCUAGUAAACGUGGUUGAUCAAACCGCGUUGAUUACGUCCCUGCCCUUUGUACACACCGCCCGUCGCUCCUACCGAUUGAAUGAAAAGGUGAAAAGAAGGGAAGGA